UUUGCAGCCGGAAACGGUAGCUGAGCGACUCUAAACAAGACAGCUUUUUGCAAGUCAGCCCACCAGAGCUGGCGACACUUUCGAAUUGACGGGGACACCCUAACGCCCUUCACACCAACCCAGUCCGGGGAACCGGCUGGCGGCCCGUGGGAAAACCACGGGGUACGGUAACAGAGGAAGGGAUGAUCCAGCGCCUUCGGGCUCUGGUGAAAUGGGGCUACCCGCAGCGAAGCUCCUACCGCCUGCAUGCGCCGCACAGCGUACAAGGCGAGGAGAACGUUCACAGACUAGGCGGAAGUGGGUGGGGCUCAGCGCCCUGCUUAAGAUAUAGUCGGGCCUCGAGGGAAACUUCGGGGAUGUACAGCAACCGUUCCGUAGGUGAACCUGCGGAAGGAUCAUUA
rnacentral:ncRNA from 1 species